rnacentral:rRNA from 1 species
AGAAUCAACGCUGGCGGCGUGCCUAACACAUGCAAGUCGAACGCGAAAGCCUCGCAAGGGGCCUGUAGCGUGGCAAACGGGUGAGUAACACGUGGGUGACCUGCCUUCGAGCGGGGGAUAACGUCCCGAAAGGGACGCUAAUACCGCAUGACAUCCUGCCUUUGAAGAGGUGGAGAUCAAAGCUAGGGAUCGCAAGACCUGGCACUUGAAGAGGGGCCCGCGCCUGAUUAGCUAGUUGGUGGGGUAAUGGCUCACCAAGGCAACGAUCAGUA